GCGUGCGCGCGCGCCUUUCUCCGUGGCCGAGCAAGCCAGUCCUGCUGCACACGCUUGCCGUCUGUGGGCCCUCCGGGAGGCGGCGACGGUCACCGCGGGGAGGAGGGGCGGGGGCAGCAUGGCAGCCUCCUUACGGCUCCUCUGAGCUGCCUCCGGUCUCCGGUACUGGAGCCGGCGGCUGCGGCCGGCAGCCGGCAGCUGUGCAGCGGUGUGUUCUAGGUCAGUGGCUUCAAAGACUCCAGUUGGAUUCAUUGGACUGGGCAACAUGGGGAAUCCAAUGGCAAAAAAUCUCAUGAAACAUGGCUAUCCACUUAUUAUUUAUGAUGUGUUCCCUGAUGCCUGCAAAGAGUUUCAAGAUGCAGGUGAACAGGUAGUAUCUUCCCCAGCAGAUGUUGCUGAAAAAGCUGACAGAAUUAUUACAGUGCUGCCCACAAGUAUCAAUGCAAUAGAAGCUUAUUCCGGAGCAAAUGGGAUUCUAAAAAAAGUGAAGAAGGGCUCAUUAUUAAUAGAUUCCAGCACUAUUGAUCCUGCAGUUUCAAAAGAAUUGGCCAAAGAAGUUGAGAAAAUGGGAGCAGUUUUCAUGGAUGCCCCUGUUUCUGGUGGUGUAGGAGCUGCACGAUCUGGGAACCUCACGUUUAUGGUGGGAGGAGUUGAAGAUGAAUUUGCUGCUGCCCAAGAGUUGCUGGGGUGCAUGGGCUCCAAAGGUAUACUGUGGAGCUGUUGGGACUGGGCAGGCGGCAAAGAUCUGCAACAACAUGCUGUUAGCUAUUAGUAUGAUCGGAACUGCUGAAACUAUGAAUUUUGGAAUCAGGUUAGGGCUUGACCCAAAACUAUUGGCUAAAAUCCUAAACAUGAGCUCAGGACGGUGUUGGUCAAGUGACACUUACAAUCCUGUGCCUCGAGUGAUGGACGGUGUUCCCUCGGCUAAUAACUAUCAGGGUGGAUUUGGAACAACACUCAUGGCUAAGGAUCUGGGAUUGGCACAAGACUCUGCUACCAGCACAAAGAGCCUAAUCCUUCUUGGCAGUCUGGCCCAUCAGAUCUACAGGAUGAUGUGUGCAAAGGGCUACUCGAAGAAAGGCUUCUCAUCCGUGUUCCAGUUCCUACGAGAGGAGGAGACCUUCUGAGUGUGCCCUUUGGCCAUGGACACUGUUGGGAAGCAAACUCUGUCUUGGAGCCUCUUUCUGGCUCACUCCACAAGUAAAUGGAUUUAAUCAAAGGUCGCCUAUCUGCUUUUGAUUGUCUAGGUCACAGUAAUCCCUAGGAUUUUUCCACCCAUUUUUAACCACUUAUUCUUUUUGUCUUUUUAACAAACAUAUUAUCUGAAUUUUUUUUCUGCAAGCCACUGAUAGUCUCUGCUAACUAGCUGAAUUGACCUUUUACAAAGUUUGAUCCCUGAGCAUCCUCAACUAAAUCGUUGAAUCCUCCAAUCAGGAUAUUAUCUGCUUUACUUUAC